AAGCCGUGCCGGGUGCUUACACAUGCAGUCGAACGGUGAAGCCCAGCUUGCUGGGUGGAUCAGUGGCGAACGGGUGAGUAACACGUGAGCAACCUGCCCCUGACUCUGGGAUAAGCGCUGGAAACGGCGUCUAAUACCGGAUACGAGACGUGACCGCAUGGUCGACGUUUGGAAAGAUUUUUCGGUCUGGGAUGGGCUCGCGGCCUAUCAGCUUGUUGGUGAGGUAAUGGCUCACCAAGGCGUCGACGGGUAGCCGGCCUGAGAGGGUGACCGGCCACACUGGGACUGAGACACGGCCCAGACUCCUACGGGAGGCAGCAGUGGGGAAUAUUGCACAAUGGGCGAAAGCCUGAUGCAGCAACGCCGCGUGAGGGACGACGGCCUUCGGGUUGUAAACCUCUUUUAGCAGGGAAGAAGCGAAAGUGACGGUACCUGCAGAAAAAGCGCCGGCUAACUACGUGCCAGCAGCCGCGGUAAUACGUAGGGCGCAAGCGUUAUCCGGAAUCAUUGGGCGUAAAGAGCUCGUAGGCGGUUUGUCGCGUCUGCUGUGAAAUCCCGAGGCUCAACCUCGGGCCUGCAGUGGGUACGGGCAGACUAGAGUGCGGUAGGGGAGAUUGGAAUUCCUGGUGUAGCGGUGGAAUGCGCAGAUAUCAGGAGGAACACCGAUGGCGAAGGCAGAUCUCUGGGCCGUAACUGACGCUGAGGAGCGAAAGGGUGGGGAGCAAACAGGCUUAGAUACCCUGGUAGUCCACCCCGUAAACGUUGGGAACUAGUUGUGGGGACCAUUCCACGGUUUCCGUGACGCAGCUAACGCAUUAAGUUCCCCGCCUGGGGAGUACGGCCGCAAGGCUAAAACUCAAAGGAAUUGACGGGGACCCGCACAAGCGGCGGAGCAUGCGGAUUAAUUCGAUGCAACGCGAAGAACCUUACCAAGGCUUGACAUAUACGAGAACGGGCCAGAAAUGGUCAACUCUUUGGACACUCGUAAACAGGUGGUGCAUGGUUGUCGUCAGCUCGUGUCGUGAGAUGUUGGGUUAAGUCCCGCAACGAGCGCAACCCUCGUUCUAUGUUGCCAGCACGUAAUGGUGGGAACUCAUGGGAUACUGCCGGGGUCAACUCGGAGGAAGGUGGGGAUGACGUCAAAUCAUCAUGCCCCUUAUGUCUUGGGCUUCACGCAUGCUACAAUGGCCGGUACAAAGGGCUGCAAUACCGUGAGGUGGAGCGAAUCCCAAAAAGCCGGUCCCAGUUCGGAUUGAGGUCUGCAACUCGACCUCAUGAAGUCGGAGUCGCUAGUAAUCGCAGAUCAGCAACGCUGCGGUGAAUACGUUCCCGGGUCUUGUACACACCGCCCGUCAAGUCAUGAAAGUCGGUAACACCUGAAGCCGGUGGCCUAACCCUUGUGGAGGGAGCCGUCGAAGGUGAUCGAUUUGU
rnacentral:rRNA from 1 species